UACGUAGGGUGCAAGCGUUGUCCGGAAUUAUUGGGCGUAAAGAGCUCGUAGGCGGUUUGUCGCGUCUUGCUGUGAAAACUCGGGGCUUAACUCCGGGCCUGCAGUGGGUACGGGCAGACUAGAGUGCGGUAGGGGAGACUGGAAUUCCUGGUGUAGCGGUGAAAUGCGCAGAUAUCAGGAGGAACACCGGUGGCGAAGGCGGGUCUCUGGGCCGUAACUGACGCUGAGGAGCGAAAGCGUGGGGAGCGAACAGG
rnacentral:rRNA from 1 species